GGCGCCAGCCGGUACGAGGUCGCCCCCCAGCUCGGC
rnacentral:sRNA from 1 species